UACGUAGGGUGCAAGCGUUGUCCGGAAUCAUUGGGCGUAAAGCGCGCGUAGGUGGCUUCGUAAGUCCGUUGUGAAAGUCAAAGGCUCAACCUUUGAAAGCCGAUGGAUACUGCGGAGCUAGAGUACGGAAGAGGCGAGUGGAAUUCCUGGUGUAGCGGUGGAAUGCGCAGAUAUCAGGAGGAACACCAAUAGCGAAGGCAGCUCACUGGGACGUUACUGACACUAAGGCGCGAAAGCGUGGGGAGCGAACAGG
rnacentral:rRNA from 1 species